rfam:Nomascus leucogenys chromosome 12, whole genome shotgun sequence.
UAACAGGCUCUUUUAAGAGCCACAGUGGCUUGAAAUAGGAUGAGAA